UACGAAGGGGGCUAGCGUUGCUCGGAAUUACUGGGCGUAAAGGGCGCGUAGGCGGAUAUUUAAGUCGGGGGUGAAAGCCCAGGGCUCAACCCUGGAAUAGCCUUCGAUACUGGAUAUCUUGAGUUCGGGAGAGGUGAGUGGAACUCCGAGUGUAGAGGUGAAAUUCGUAGAUAUUCGGAAGAACACCAGUGGCGAAGGCGACUCACUGGCCCGAUACUGACGCUGAAGCGCGAAAGCGUGGGGAGCAAACAGG
rnacentral:rRNA from 1 species